ACACACACACACACACUAACAAACACACACACAUUAACAGACACACACUCACUGACACACACACUCACAGGCAAACACACACUCACUGACACACACACACACAGGCAAACACACACUCACUGACACACAGUCAGACACACACACAUACACACUAACAGACACAGUCAGACACACACACACUAACAAAACACACACACAUUAACAGACACACACUCACUCACUCACUCACAU